rnacentral:rRNA from 1 species
UGGGGAAUUUUCCGCAAUGGGUUGUCAAGCCUGACGGGAGCCAGACCCGCGUGGGGGAGGAAGGCCCUUGGGUUGUAAACCCCUUUUCUCAGGGAAGAAACCUGACGGUACCUGAGGAAAAAGCCUCGGCUAACUCCGUGCCAGCAGCCGCGGUAAUACGGAGGAGGCAAGCGUUAUCCGGAAUUACUGGGCGUAAAGCGUUCGUAGGGGGCUCGUCAAGUCUGCUGUCAAAGACCGGAGCUCAACUCCGGGCAGGCAGUGGAAACUGGGGAGCUAGAGGGCGGCAGGGGCAGAAGGAAUUCCCGGUGUAGCG